rnacentral:rRNA from 1 species
UACGUAGGGGGCUAGCGUUGUCCGGAAUCAUUGGGCGUAAAGAGCGCGUAGGCGGCCAGACAAGUCCGGUGUGAAAGUCACAGGCUCAACCUGUGAAUGCCGCUGGAAACUGUCUGGCUAGAGUCCGGAAGGGGCGAGUGGAAUUCCUGGUGUAGCGGUGAAAUGCGCAGAUAUCAGGAAGAACACCCGUGGCGAAGGCGGCUCUCUGGGACGGUACUGACGCUGAGACGCGAAAGCGUGGGGAGCGAACAGG